ACAAGCGGUGGAGCAUGUGGUUUAAUUCGAUGAUACGCGAGGAACCUUACCUGGGCUCAAAUGUAUGUUGACGUAUUCUGAAAGGGAUACUUCUUCGGACAAUAUACAAGGUGCUGCAUGGUUGUCGUCAGCUCGUGCCGUGAGGUGUCGGGUUAAGUCCCAUAACGAGCGCAACCCCUAUCAUUAGUUGCCAUCAGGUCAAGCUGGGGACUCUAAUGAAACUGCCUACGCAAGUAGUGAGGAAGGUGGGGAUGACGUCAAAUCAGCACGGCCCUUACGUCCAGGGCUACACACGUGCUACAAUGGCCGGUACAAAGGGCAGCUACCUGGCGACAGGAUGCUAAUCUCGAAAACCGCUCUCAGUUCGGAUCGGAGUCUGCAACUCGACUCCGUGAAGCUGGAUUCGCUAGUAAUCGCGCAUCAGCCACGGCGCGGUGAAUACGUUCCCGGGCCUU
rnacentral:rRNA from 1 species